UUUCGCCGUCCAAGCCCAAGGCAAACCCCAUGAACAUCACCACUCUCUUUCCACCCUCAUAGCAAUCGCAGCACCGGGACGAUGAACGGCUCUUCAAACGCUAACCUGAGAAAAUGGAGGCCACGGGUGGCCUCACCGAGUUCUGAAACGCAACACCCUUAAGCCACGAAGCCACCACCGCUAUUCUGCCUCCGUGAAGAAGCUCGUCGGAGCUGCGAGUUCACAACCCAAUCUGCCUCUUUGAAGAAGCUCCCUGUGCAGAUCUAAAAAAUUUGUUGAAUUUCUAUGUAAUUUUUUUUUGUGUUAUUAUUUCAUUUGUCUUUGUGUAAUUUUUUUUUCUGUAUCUGAUUAAUUUGUAAAAGUUAUGUCUAAAUUUUUGUAAA